rnacentral:rRNA from 1 species
GACGUAGGUGGCGAACGUUAUCCGGAAUUAUUGGGCGUAAAGGGUGCGUAGGUGGUCUGAUAAGUUAUCAGUGGCAAAUCGAGGCUCAACCUCGUGGAAACUGGUAAUACUGUCCGACUUGAGUACAGGAGAGGUUAACGGAACUCCACGUAGAGCGGUAAAAUGCGAAGAUAUCGGGAAGAACACCAGUGGCGAAGGCGGCUGCCUGGCCUGUAACUGACGCUGAGACGCGAAAGCGUGGGGAGCGAACCGG